UCUCUGGUGGCUCAGACAGUAAAGUGUCUGCCUGCAAUGCGGGAGACCCAGGUUCGAUCCCUGGGUAGGGAA
rnacentral:tRNA from 1 species